rnacentral:lncRNA from 1 species
UAGGUAUAAAAUUAUUUGUGAAAUUGAAGGUACGAAUACAUAUUAUUUUGCCUCUUAGAUGUGGCAUGGUUUUGGAAAUCCAAAAAAGGAGUAUAAAAUUGUUCGUGAAAUCGGUAUGUUUUUCUUUUCGUCUGUAAAUUGGAGCUGAAGUAAUACUUGCAUUCAGUGAAAGUUCAAGCCUCAAGGCAAGAUUGCAAAGUAGUAUAUCAUUGUUGGUAUUUUCUGCGAAAUUUAAAUGCUGAUAACUGAUUGCUGAGAUCUGUGUUUGAUUCUGUCUUUAAUAUUUUCUCGUGAUGCUGAGGAAGUCAAUGCUAAGUCACUACAACAACAACUCAGUAUUAUCCUACAUAGCAGGGUCUGGGGAGUGUAAUAUGUACGCAGACCUUACCUUUACCUUGAGGUAGAGAGGCUGUUUCCAAAUAGACCCCCAGCAUCCUUCCCUCCAAGAACUUCCCACCUUGCUUUUGGGGAGACUCGAACUCACAACCUCUCGGUUGGAAGUGGGGAUUGCUUACCAUAAGAACAACCCCUCUUGUCUCAAGUUAAUGCUAGGUCACUGUUAGGUGAUAAUACUGUGUACUAAUUUCAUUAUAGGCUGUAGC